AGGCCUUUUGCUCUAACUUGAAGACCAGAAGGAGCUAGAACUUUAGAGUCUGGGGGAGGGGACGCUGCAGACGCCGUAAAGGGUCGCGCUGCGGGGCGUAGUGGUUGUGUGUGGGGCUGCUACCCACGAGGUCAGGAGUUCGAAACCACCAGCCGCUCCCUGAGCUGCCCUCUAGUGAGACUUGCCCCACGUACUUGGACAUGUCGCCAGGAGCGACAACGUGCUUGGUAACGUCGAAGGGCGGCGAAAAGGACAAGAUGAAAUGACACAGUGGUUGCGACAGUGGGCUUACACAUGACCUCUGUGCGGACGGGUCAGCCCCGGGCAGUGAUUCAUUCUGCCGUCCACAGGGUGACUGAGUCAGAGCCACCCUGAUGGCGCCCAACAACAACAACAACACAGUCAGCAGUCAGCUGUGCCUAGUGGUUGUCAGCCUCAUGCCAGUGGGCGACCAGCCUGCUGUCUGCCCUGUCAAUCUUGGGUUCUUCAACCCCUGCAGCCAUGUGAGACAGGAGACACCUCCAGCCUGACAUCUGACCCCAGGACUUGGAACUCCCAGGCCUCUGCAACUGAGUAAACCACUUAAUUUAGAUAAAUCUUUCUGUGUAUAUACAUGUAUAAACUCACUGGUUUUGCUUCACUAGAAGACCCAGCCUAACACAACACAAUUUUUAAAAAUUCAAUUGCCACUAACUAUGCAAUUGUGGAGUUUCCACUUCUCCGCCUAUUGGAAACGAUUCAUUUGUAAUGUAAUGAGAUGCCAAGAGGCAAAUAUCAAGAGAAAAGUCUAACCGAACUUGAUACAUACCUUCCAAGUAGUUAAUAAAAUCAUAUGCUCAUGAA